AUGCUCACUUCGGCAGCACAUAUACUAAAAUUGGAACGAUACAGGGAAGAUUAGCAUGGCCCUGCGCAAGGAUGACACACAAAUUCAUGAGGCAUUCCAUAUCUUU
rnacentral:snRNA from 1 species